GACGAACGCUGGCGGCGUGCUUAACACAUGCAAGUCGAACGGAAAGGCCUUUUCGGAGGUACUCGAGUGGCGAACGGGUGAGUAACACGUGGGUGAUCUGCCCUGCACUCUGGGAUAAGCCUGGGAAACUGGGUCUAAUACCGGAUAGGACCGCACUUUAGUGUGUGUGGUGGAAAGUUUUUUCGGUGUAGGAUGAGCCCGCGGCCUAUCAGCUUGUUGGUGGGGUAAUGGCCUACCAAGGCGGCGACGGGUAGCCGGACUGAGAGGUUGGUCGGCCACAUUGGGACUGAGAUACGGCCCAGACUCCUACGGGAGGCAGCAGUGGGGAAUAUUGAACAAUGGGCGCAAGCCUGAUGCAGCGACGCCGCGGGGGGGAUGACGGACUUCGGGUUGUAAACUCCUUUCGCCAGGGACGAAGCGUUUUGUGACGGUACCUGGAGAAGAAGCACCGGCUAACUACGUG
rnacentral:rRNA from 1 species